UGAGUUACUGAUUGUGGUGUAC
rnacentral:siRNA from 1 species